rnacentral:rRNA from 1 species
UGGGGAAUAUUGGACAAUGGGGGCAACCCUGAUCCAGCGAUGCCGCGUGUGUGAAGAAGGCCUGCGGGUUGUAAAGCACUUUAGUUGGGGAGGAGAAGGUUCGUAUGAAUAAUGAGGACUGGAGACGUUACCCAAAGAAUAAGCACCGGCAAACUCUGUGCCAGCAGCCGCGGUAAUACAGAGGGUGCAAGCGUUAAUCGGAGUUACUGGGCGUAAAGGGCACGUAGGUGGUUAUAUAAGUCAGUUGUGAAAUCCCCGGGCUUAACCUGGGAACUGCAGCUGAUACUGUGUGACUAGAGUCGAAGAGAGGGAAGCGGAAUUUCCGGUGUAGCGGUGAAAUGCGUAGAUAUCUGGAGGAAUACCGGUGGCGAAGGCGGCAUCCGUGGACCAAUA